CCCGUUGAACUCAAUUAUCCGGGCCGCGAUAUUCAUCGGGUGGCCACUCGCCACCCGUGCACUUAUCGACCGGCAGCGUACGGACAUCGCGAUCCAUUACGCCAAGCGUCGCCCUCUCCCGGGCGGCGCGCGUUCCAGCUCCGGGCCGCCCUGGCUCGCCGAGGUCUCCCCGUACCGUACCGCGCGCGCUCCCGAGCGUGCCGCGGGAACCGGGGGCGUGAUUGGCCCCCGGGCCAAGCACCGCUGAUGACCGAGCGCGGCGUGCCGCUGGACACGUGAUGGGCCGAACAGUAUCGAACGAGGGCAGGAGGCGACGCCGUUGCGCAUGCGCGUCGUCGCAUGCACCGGCACCUGGCCACGGGCUUCCGUGCGUGCGCCCCGGCAUGGUCUCCCGAUCGGCGAUGGUUCGGUGCCCGCCGCCCCCCGCGGGUGCGCGGGUGCCGUUAGAAUUGAGGCACCUCCGGG
rnacentral:rRNA from 1 species